rnacentral:rRNA from 1 species
UAGUGGCGAACGGGUGAGUAACACGUGGGCAAUCUGCCCUUCACUCUGGGACAAGCCCUGGAAACGGGGUCUAAUACCGGAUAACACCUGCCCGGGCAUCCGGGUGGGUUAAAAGCUCCGGCGGUGAAGGAUGAGCCCGCGGCCUAUCAGCUUGUUGGUGAGGUAGUGGCUCACCAAGGCGACGACGGGUAGCCGGCCUGAGAGGGCGACCGGCCACACUGGGACUGAGACACGGCCCAGACUCCUACGGGAGGCAGCAGUGGGGAAUAUUGCACAAUGGGCGAAAGCCUGAUGCAGCGACGCCGCGUGAGGGAUGACGGCCUUCGGGUUGUAAACCUCUUUCAGCAGGGAAGAAGCGAAAGUGACGGUACCUGCAGAAGAAGCGCCGGCUAACUACGUGCCAGCAGCCGCGGUAAUACGUAGGGCGCAAGCGUUGUCCGGAAUUAUUGGGCGUAAAGAGCUCGUAGGCGGCUUGUCACGUCGGGUGUGAAAGCCCGGG